rnacentral:rRNA from 1 species
UGGGCGGAAGCCUGAUCCAGCAACGCCGCGUGAGGGAUGACGGCCUUCGGGUUGUAAACCUCUUUCAUCACCGACGAAGUCCUCGUCUUUGGGUGGGGGUGACGGUAGGUGGAGAAGAAGCACCGGCCAACUACGUGCCAGCAGCCGCGGUAAUA